CCACAAGAACUUUAAGAUGAAGAGAAAUCCCCGUAAAGUAAAAUGGACUAAGGCAUAUAGGAGGCUGCAUGGAAAGGAUAUGACACAGGACUCGACUUUCGAGUUUGAGAGGAAACGCAAUAGGCCGGAGAGAUAUGACAGGAAUCUCACCGAAGAGACAUUGAAGGCUAUUAAGAAGAUCGAUAAAGUCAGAGCAGAUAGGGAGUCAAGACAUAUUGCUCGCAGACACCAAGGAAAGAAAGCAAAGGAACUCAGAGAGGCACAGAAGGAAUUGGAUCAAAGCAUCAGUUUGGUCAAAGCACCUACUGUUCUCAAAGAGGAUCCUUCCCUCACCCUUCCGAAGAUCAAAGUCAAAGUGGUACCAUCACAAGCAGAGCAAAAUCAGCCUAUGGAAGAAUGAGUUUGUUAGUCUCUU
rnacentral:misc_RNA from 1 species